UGCAUGCAUGACUGUAAGUUGUUUUGGAUAAAAGCACCUGCUAAAUGGACUAUA
rfam:Salmo salar isolate Sally breed double haploid chromosome ssa10, whole genome shotgun sequence.